AUUUUGGUUUCUAUGACUUGAAUUUUUUUUACCAUAUUGAUAUAGGACAAUUAUGCAACUGCAGCAGAACACAGCCGCUCUGGAGAUUUUUUACGAAAACUAGGUGAUUUAAAGUAUAAACAAGCUGAUACUGCAGAUAAUUUGUUCAGUGUAUUCAAUCCCCAUGAUGAUUCCGACAAGCCUAGACAUUCUUUACUUGGUGAUAUCUUACGGGCUAUGGGUGAUUCUAAAUAUAGAGCUGCUGAAAGAGCCGAUGGUGUUGUAAAAAAUGCGAAGUCUUAUACAGGGUAUGCAAUAGGAAAAAUCAUAAGCAAAGUUAAACCAUCAGCUGGAUCUUCAUCAGAUAAAACUACACCGAAGCCUGCUUCAAAAGUUGUACUUACUCUCGAUGAAAAUACACGAGAGCUAACAAAAGAUAAAAUUAUUGAUAUAGCACGUCGGUUUCAUAAAGCGAGAAAAGCAUCUAAGAAAAAUUAAUGGAACACAUAUAUUUAUAUGUGACAAAUCAAACUAAUCCGAUUUAUGCGAAUAUUAAUCGACAACAUCUUUCGAGGGAAAAAUGAUAUUUAUUUAUUAUAUAUUUAUUUCUAUGCCAGUUUUAUAUUUUUGUAUUUUAUUAUUCUAAUUCCAUAAUUUGAUAUUUUGA